AUUGAACGCUGGCGGCAGGCCUAACACAUGCAAGUCGAGCGCGCGGCGGACGGGUGAGUAAUGUCUGGGAAACUGCCUGAUGGAGGGGGAUAACUACUGGAAACGGUAGCUAAUACCGCAUACCAUCAGAUGUGCCCAGAUGGGAUUAGCUGGUAGGUGGGGUAACGGCUCACCUAGGCGACGAUCCCUAGCUGGGCUGAGAGGAUGACCCGCCACACUGGAACUGAGACACGUGCCAGACUCCUACGGGAGGCAGCAGUGGGGAAUAUUGCACAAUGGGCGCAAGCCUGAUGCAGCCAUGCCGCGUGUGUGAAGAAGGCCUUCGGGUUGUAAAGUACUUUCAGCGGGGAGGCGUUACCCGCAGAAGAAGCACCGGCUAACUCCAUGCCAGCCGCCGCGGUAAUUC
rnacentral:rRNA from 1 species